CUGGAAGGCUCACACAGCUACACAGGUUCCGAGAGGGAUGUGCUUGGUGCUCUCCAAACUGUCCAGCGAAGGCACCUCUGCUCAGACCACAGGAACAUAGCAGCAGACCAGAGGCCUCUCUCUACUAGCUGAUAGCCCCUUUUGCAAAGACCCAGCUCCUUCAGGGGUACAUCCAGGGAAUUAGACACAGGCAAGAACUGCUCUGGCCCUGGACACAAGCUGACCAAAGCCUGCAGCGAGCUUGGGACCAUCUGGAGGAGGCCGUGGCUACAUUUCAGGGUCCUUCAGGAUCUAGCCCCAGAUGUACUCUCUGCUGUAACCUGUCAAGCCCCUUGCAGAGCACUGAAUGCCCUCUGCUGUCACAGGCUCUGGGUCUUCUCCUGCACUCCCCCUCCUGCACCCUGAAAAUGGUGUCUCCUUGGGAAACCCCUGGACUUCUCCUCACGCCCUCCCAGUCUGGGUGAGGAUACCUCCAGAGCUCCUAGGGUGCCUGUGACUCCCACUGCCAAUCAUCUUUUUACUCGUCUGUGUCUGCCGUGUCUUACUUACGCUGCUCAGAGAAUGAGACAUACAAUGCCUGUUUGUUGAGCUAAUUUAUUAA